GAACUGAAACGGACGGUUGCGCGAUAUGCUGCCGAAAGGUAUUAUCGUGAGGAAAGUCCGUGCUUCGCAGGGCAGGAUAGCUGAUAACGUCAGCCAGAGGUGACUCUCGGGAUAGUGCAACAGAAAAUUACCGCAGGUCUUGACCUGUAAGGAUGAAAACGCGAGGUAAGAGCUCACGACGCGCUAUGGUAAUAUAGUGUGGGUGUAAACCCUAUCCGAAGCAACACCGUAUGCGAGAAAUUUUAUUUGCCCGAUAAGCUUUUUGCGUUCUCGCGGGUGGCACACAUUUUUGUGGAGCGUCUUGGUGACAAGGCGCAAAGAUAGAUGACCGUCGAUUACAGAACACGGCUUAUAGUUUCAGUUCAUAU
rnacentral:RNase_P_RNA from 1 species